GCAGUCGAGCGGUAGCACAGAGAGCUUGCUCUCUGGUGACGAGUGGCGGACGGGUGAGUAAUGUCUGGGAAACUGCCUGAGGGAGGGGGAGAACUACUGGGAACGGUAGCUAAUACCCCAUAAUGUCGCGGAAACCAAGAGGGGGACCUUCGGGGCUCUUGCCAUUGAAUGUGCCCCGAUGGGACUAGCUAUUAGGUGGGGGGAAGGCUCACCCCUGCGACAAUCCCCAGCUGGGCUGAGAGAAUAACCAGCCACACUGGAACUCAGACACGGUCCUCACUCCUACGGGAGGCGUGGGUGGGGAAAAUUAAUCAAUGGGCGCGAGCCUGAUGCAGGCCUGCCGCGUGUAUGAAAAAGGCCUUCUGGUUGUCAAUUCUUUUACCGCGGAGGAAAGGAAUUUGGUUUUUAACCUUGUUGCUUGUGGUGACCCUCAAAAAAAAUAGGGUUUUCUUUG
rnacentral:rRNA from 1 species